UACGGAGGAUCCAAGCGUUAUCCGGAUUUAUUGGGUUUAAAGGGUGCGUAGGCGGAUUGAUAAGUUAGAGGUGAAAUGUCCGAGCUCAACUCGGGAACUGCCUCUAAUACUGUUGAUCUAGAGAGUAGAUGCGGUAGGCGGAGUGUAUGGUGUAGCGGUGAAAUGCUUAGAGAUCAUACAGAACACCGAUUGCGAAGGCAGCUUACCAAUCUAUAUCUGACGUUGAGGCACGAAAGCGUGGGGAGCAAACAGG
rnacentral:rRNA from 1 species